rnacentral:rRNA from 1 species
ACCAGACUCCUACGGGAGGCAGCAGUGGGGAAUAUUGCACAAUGGGCGAAAGCCUGAUGCAGCAACGCCGCGUGAAGGAAGAAGGUCUUCGGAUCGUAAACUUCUGUCCUUGGGGAAGAUAAUGACGGUACCCUUGGAGGAAGCCCCGGCUAACUACGUGCCAGCAGCCGCGGUAAUACGUAGGGGGCAAGCGUUAUCCGGAUUUACUGGGUGUAAAGGGAGCGUAGGCGGUGCAGCAAGUCAGAAGUGAAAGCCCGGGGCUCAACUCCGGGACUGCUUUUGAAACUGUUGAACUAGAUUGCAGGAGAGGUAAGUGGAAUUCCUAGUGUAGCGGUGAAAUGCGUAGAUAUUAGGAGGAACACCAGUGGCGAAGGCGGCUUACUGGACUGUAAAUGACGCUGAGGCUCGAAAGCGUGGGGAGCAAACAGGAUUAGAUACCCGUGUAA